CAUAUCGGAACGUGCCCAGUAAUGGGGGAUAGCUCGGCGAAAGCCGGAUUAAUACCGCAUAUUUCCUGAGGGAGAAAGCGGGGGACCUUCGGGCCUCGCGCUACUGGAGCGGCUGAUGUCGGAUUAGCUAGUUGGUGGGGUAAAGGCCUACCAAGGCGACGAUCCGUAGCUGGUCUGAGAGGAUGAUCAGCCACACUGGGACUGAGACACGGCCCAGACUCCUACGGGAGGCAGCAGUGGGGAAUUUUGGACAAUGGGCGAAAGCCUGAUCCAGCCAUGCCGCGUGAGUGAAGAAGGCCUUCGGGUUGUAAAGCUCUUUCAGGUGGAAAGAAAUCACUACCCCGAAUACGGGUGGUGGAUGACGGUACCAUCAGAAGAAGCACCGGCUAACUACGUG
rnacentral:rRNA from 1 species